AGGACGGUAUUUGUGACAAUAUGAAUUAUUGAAAUCAAUUUAUUCAGCAUAUUGCACAUCUCCCGGCCUAU
rnacentral:pre_miRNA from 1 species